rnacentral:rRNA from 1 species
AUUGAACGCUGGCGGCAUGCCUUACACAUGCAAGUCGAACGGCAGCACGGGGGCAACCCUGGUGGCGAGUGGCGAACGGGUGAGUAAUGCAUCGGAACGUGCCCAGUAGUGGGGGAUAACCAGUCGAAAGACUGGCUAAUACCGCAUACGACCUACGGGUGAAAGCGGGGGACCGUAAGGCCUCGCGCUAUUGGAGCGGCCGAUGUCUGAUUAGCUAGUUGGCGGGGUAAGAGCCCACCAAGGCGACGAUCAGUAGCUGGUCUGAGAGGGUGGCCCCCCACACUGGCACUGAAACACGGGCCAGACACCUACGGAUGGCAG